rnacentral:misc_RNA from 1 species
UCUCCGUAGGUGAACCUGCGGAGGGAUCAUUACUGAGUGAGGGCUCACGCCCGACCUCCAACCCUUUGUGAACACAUCUUGUUGCUUCGGGGGCGACCCCGCCGUUUCGGCGGCGAGCGCCACCGGAGGCCUUCAAACACUGCAUCUUUGCGUCGGAGUUUAAGUAAAUUAAACAAAACUUUCAACAACGGAUCUCUUGGUUCGGGCAUCGAUGAAGAACGCAGC